UAGGAAGCUGCAGAUGUGACAGGACAAC
rnacentral:piRNA from 1 species